GUUUGAUCAUGGCUCAGAUGAACGCUAGCGGCAGGCUUAACACAUGCAAGUCGAGGGUAUAGUUCUUCGGAACUAGAGACCGGCGCACGGGUGCGUAACGCGUAUGCAAUCUACCUUCACAAAGGGAUAGCCCAGAGAAAUUUGGAUUAAUACCUUAUAGUAAUACGACUUGGCAUCAAGAUGUAUUUAAAGUCACAACGGCAAAAGAUGAGCAUGCGUCCCAUUAGCUAGUUGGUAAGGUAACGGCUUACCAAGGCUACGAUGGGUAGGGGUCCUGAGAGGGAGAUCCCCCCACACUGGUACUGAGACACGGACCAGACUCCUACGGGAGGCAGCAGUGAGGAAUAUUGGACAAUGGGCGCAAGCCUGAUCCGGCCAUGCCGCGUGCAGGAUGACGGUCCUAUGGAUUGUAAACUGCUUUUAUACAGGAAGAAACACUCCGACGUGUCGGAGCUUGACGGUACUGUAAGAAUAAGGAUCGGCUAACUCCGUA
rnacentral:rRNA from 1 species